rnacentral:rRNA from 1 species
GGGUGCGAUCAUACCAGCAAUAAUGCACCGGAUCCCAUCAGAACUCCGAAGUAAGCUUGCUUGGGCGAGAGCAGUACUAGGAUGGGUGACCUCCUGGGAAGUCCUCGUGUUGCACCCCUC